rnacentral:lncRNA from 1 species
AACAUCAGGAUUUUAUAAACAAACAUCGACACAUUAUUUACAUAUUCUUUUAGGAUGGGACUUCCUUUUUCUCGGGUCGAUACAAAACAAGAAAAGCUAGGACUCUGCCAUAUCUUGCCUAAAAUCUCAAAAAGAAACCCUCGACCCUCAACAUCAUACGAGCACAAACCCCCAUCGAAAGUGUCGACUAUCUACAUCAAAAAGAUCCAGCUCCUACUCAUCGCGCGCGGGUCUCACACCCAACCCGGUGCAUCAGGCGGUGGUGGUGGCAACAUCCCUCGCAUAGCUCCAUCCCGACGAACGUGCACAGAAAUGAACUCCUG